rnacentral:rRNA from 1 species
UACCAGCACCCCGAGUGGUCGGGACGAUUAUUGGGCCUAAAGCAUCCGUAGCCGGUCCUGCAAGUCUUCCGUUAAAUCCAGCUGCUCAACAGAUGGGCUGCGGGGGAUACUACAGGGCUAGGAGGCGGGAGAGGCAAGCGGUACUUUAUGGGUAGGGGUAAAAUGCGUAGAUAUCUGGAGGAACACCGGUGGCGAAGGCGGCGUUCUGGACUGCAACUGACACUGAUGAACGAAAGCCAGGGGAGCAAACGGG